CAUAUGCAGUGUCCCCACAGGAAGUUAUGAGUCUUAUAAGUUUCCUAUGCUUCCUCUCUAAUGGACGGUAAACACUCAGGAAAGCAUGGUUAUUUCUCAGGGUUGGAAAGAACAAGAGCAGAGGAACAUUUAAGCUGGACCUUGAAGGGUGUGUCAACAGACAGAAAGUUUCUCCAGCUGUCCUUCCGGACCUGUUUCCAGACAUGUCAUCAUCCUGGCUGGUCAUAUGCCUUUUCAGAGUUUUGCUCUUGUUGCCCAGGCUGGAGUACAGUGGCACCAUCUCGGCUCACCGCAUACUUUGCCUCCCGGGUUCAAGCAAUUCUCCUGCCUCAGCCUCCCAAAUAGCUGGGAUUGCAGGCAUGUGCCACCACGCCCAGAUGGAGUUUCAGCUCUUGUUGCCCAGGCUGGAGUGCAAUGGUGUGAUCUCAGCUCACUGCAACCUCUGCCUCCCAGGUUCAAGCAAUUCUCCUGCCUCAGCCUCCCCAGUUGCUGGGAUUACAGAGAUGAAGUUUUGCCAUGUUGCCCAGGCUGGUCUUGAACUUCUGGACUCAAGCAAUCCUCCCACCUUGGUUUCCCAAAGUGCUGCGGUUACAGACAUCAGCCACCACGCCUGGCCUCUGGAUGUUUUCAUCAAGAUGUUGUCUUGUCCAAAGAUUGAGAGGCCCAAGUAAGAACUCGGUUUAGGAAUGGAAUUGGAAGAAGCAACAUUUUUGGCUAGGAGGGGUGGGCACAAGGAUGACUAGAUAUUAGAGACUGGAAAAGAGAAUGGGAUAGACAUAAGGAGCCUUAAAUUGGUGGCUACCUGGGGCAAACGGAAAAAGGA